GAUGAACGCUAGCUACAGGCUUAACACAUGCAAGUCGAGGGGAAACGACAUCGAAAGCUUGCUUUUGGUGGGCGUCGACCGGCGCACGGGUGAGUAACGCGUAUCCAACCUGCCCACCACUUGGGGAUAACCUUGCGAAAGUAAGACUAAUACCCAAUGAUAUCCCACGAAGGCAUCCGAAUGGGAUUAAAGAUUUAUCGGUGAUGGAUGGGGAUGCGUCUGAUUAGCUUGUUGGCGGGGUAACGGCCCACCAAGGCGACGAUGCGUAGGGGUUCUGAGAGGAAGGUCCCCCACACUGGUACUGAGACACGGACCAGACUCCUACGGGAGGCAGCAGUGAGGAAUAUUGGGUCAAUGGGCGCAGGCCUGAACCAGCCAAGUCGCGUGAGGGAUGACGGUCCUACGGAUUGUAAACCUCUUUUGUCGGGGAGUAACGUGCGGGACGUGUCCCGUAUUGAGAGUACCCGAGAAAAAGCAUCGGCUAACUCCGUG
rnacentral:rRNA from 1 species